rnacentral:rRNA from 1 species
ACUGAACGCUGGCGGCAGGCCUAACACAUGCCAGUCGAACGGUAACAGGAAGCAGCUUGCUGCUUUGCUGACGAGUGGCGGACGGGUGAGUAAUGUCUGGGAAACUGCCCGAUGGAGGGGGAUAACUACUGGAAACGGUAGCUAAUACCGCAUAACGUCGCAAGACCAAAGAGGGGGACCUUAGGGCCCCUUGCAAUCGGAGGUGCCCGGAUGGGAUUAGCUAGUAGGUGGGGUAACGGCUCACCUAGGCGACGAUCCCUAGCUGGUCUGAGAGGAUGACCAGCCACACUGGAACUGAGACACGGUCCAGACUCCUACGGGAGGCAGCAGUGGGGAAUAUUGCACAAUGGGCGCAAGCCUGAUGCAGCCAUGCCGCGUGUAUGAAGAAGGCCUUCGGGUUGUAAAGUACUUUCAGCGGGGAGGAAGGGAGUAAAGUUAAUACCUUUGCUCAUUGACGUUACCCGCAGAAGAAGCACCGGCUAACUCCGUG